AACCAACUUUUAAACGAUUGUAUUUUGUGUUGUAGUUGUUGUUCGUAAAAUAAUAAUAUGUAUUAAAUAAAAAUUAAAUUUAAAGGAGUAAAGUAUAAAUAAAAAGUGAAAUUCUAAAGUGUAAAAAAGUUAGAUUUACUCCUCUAUUUUAAAGUCGAGUAUAGAGUAGAGUUGAAAAUGUUUUUAGAGCUUUUACAAAUAGAGUAAGGUUAGAGAUGUCCUCACUAAAGUUACGAGGUGUGGGAGGGACGGAGCCAAUGAAGAAUUAUAGGGGUCAAAUGAUCCCAGUGAACUUUUAAAAAAUAAUUGAA
rnacentral:sRNA from 1 species